rnacentral:rRNA from 1 species
CAAUAGCGUAUAUUUAAGUUGCUGCAGUUAAAAAGCUCGUAGUUGGAUUUCGGGUGGGAAUGGCCGGUCCGCCGUUUCGGUGUGCACUUGCUACGCCCACCUUGCUGCCGGGGACGUGCUCUUGAGUUCACGCUCGGGACACGGAGUCGGCGAGGUUACUUUGAGUAAAUUAGAGUGUUCAAAGCAGGCCUACGCUCUGAAUACAUUAGCAUGGAAUAACACGAUAGGACUCUGGCCUAUCUUGUUGGUCUGUAGGACCGGAGUAAUGAUUAAGAGGGACAGUCGGGGGCAUUCGUAUUUCAUUGUCAGAGGUGAAAUUCUUGGAUUUAUGAAAGACGAACUACUGCGAAAGCAUUUGCCAAGGAUGUUUUCAUUAAA